UCUUCUAUCUCAUUUUUCUCCUCUUUCUGUCAAUUUUCUGGAUGAUUUUGACCGCAUUGGAAGAUCAUGACCUUGAAUAGUUGGGUGCUCGUGUGUCAUUGUUAUAUUCAUAGGGAAUUCUGGAUUCCAUAAACUGCUGUCUUGUAUGAAUGAUUAGGACAAAAAGGGGUUCUGUUGUUGUAAUUGAUAUAGUUCACGUUCCAGGAUUGAGUGAUCAUUAGAUUUUCUGUUGAUUCAUUAAAUUAUAGUUUGAAAUGCCUCAAAAACAUUUGCAUUAGCCAAAGGCCAAGAAAUGUAUAGCAUCUCAAACUAUAAUUUAAUGAAUCAACAGAA
rnacentral:misc_RNA from 1 species